rnacentral:rRNA from 1 species
GAUGAACGCUAGCAGGACGCCUAACACAUGCAAGUCGAACGGUUCAUUUUCUCUGAAAGGCUUUUUCUUCGGAAAAGGUUUCGAUGAGAUUUCCGAACAGUGGCAAACGGGCGAGUAACACGUAUCUAACCUGCCCCGAAGAGAGGGAUAACUGCGGAAACGCCGCUAAUACCUCAUGUGCUCCAUAGAAGGAAGUAUAUAUGGAGUAAAGGUUUCGGUCGCUUUGGGAGGGGGAUGCGGCCUAUCAGGUAGUUGGUAAGGUAAUGGCUUACCAAGCCUAUGACGGGUAACCGAUCUGAGAGGAUGUACGGUCGCAAUGGGACUGAGACACGGCCCAUACUCCUACGGGAGGCAGCAGUGGGGAAUCUUGGACAAUGGAGGAAACUCUGAUCCAGCGAUCCUGCGUGGAGGACGACGCCUUACGGGGUGUAAACUCCUUUUUUGGGGGAAGACGACUGACUGUACCCCAAGAAUAAGGGACGGCUAACUACGUGCCAGCAGCCGCGGUAAUACGUAGGUCCCAAGCGUUAUCCGGAUUUACUGGGCGUAAAGAGUCUGUAGCCGGUUAUGCAAGUCUAUUUUUAAAUCCUGCGACUCAAUCGUAGACAGGGAAUGGAUACUACAUAGCUAGAGGUUGUGAGGGGUUAGUAGAAUUUCCGGUGGAGCGGUGAAAUGUGUUGAUAUCGGAAGGAAUGCCAAAAGCGAAAGCAGCUAACUAUCACAAACCUGACGGUGAGAGACGAAAGUCUGGGUAGCAAACGGGAUUAGAUACCCCGGUAGUCCAGACCGUAAAUGAUGCUUGCUAAGUGUCUGGUCCGAUACUAAUUUUGCUUUUUUUAGGCAGAGUUAUUAUCGGACUGGGUGCUGCAACCUAACGGGUUAAGCAAGCCGCCUGGGUAGUAUAGUCGCAAGGCCGAAACUCAAAGGGAUAGGCGGGGGAACACACAAGCAGUGGAUUGUCUAGAUUAAUUGGAUAAUAAGCCAACAAUCUUACCUGGGUUUGAAAUCCUCAGAAUUCUGGUGAAAGCUGGAAGUGUCUCGCUCUGCGAGAAGCUGAGUGACAGGCGCUGCACGGUCGUCGUCAGCUCGUGCCGCAAGGUGUCCAGUUAAGUCUGGUAACGAGCGCAACCCUUGUCCUAUGUUAGAAUGUCAUAGGAGACUGCCUAGGCAACUAGGAGGAAGGAGAGGAUGACGUCAGAUCAUCAUGGCCCUUAUACCCAGGGCUUCAUAGACAAUACAAUGGGUGUUACAAUGAGAAGCGAUAUCGUGAGGUGGAGCGAAUCUCGAAAAGCAUCCUCAGUUCGGAUUGUAGUCUGGAACUCGACUACAUGAAGCCGGAAUUGCUAGUAAUGGUGAAUCAGGAUGUCACCGUGAAUGAGUCCCUGUUCC